UACGUAGGGUGCGAGCGUUGUCCGGAUUUAUUGGGCGUAAAGGGCUCGUAGGCGGCGUGUCGCGUCGGGAGUGAAAGACCGGGGCUUAACCCCGGUUCUGCUUCCGGUACGGGCAUGCUGGAGUGUGGCAGGGGAGACUGGAAUUCCGUGGUGUAGCGGUGGAAUGCGCAGAGUAUCAGGAGGAACACCGGUGGCGAAGGCGGGUCUCUGGGCCAUUACUGACGCUGGAGGAGCGAAAGCGUGGGGAGCGAACAGG
rnacentral:rRNA from 1 species